rnacentral:rRNA from 1 species
GACUCUCGGCAACGGAUAUCUCGGCUCUCGCAUCGAUGAAGAACGUAGCGAAAUGCGAUACUUGGUGUGAAUUGCAGAAUCCCGUGAACCAUCGAGUCUUUGAACGCAAGUUGCGCCCGAAGCCGUCAGGCCGAGGGCACGCCUGCCUGGGCGUCACC